rnacentral:rRNA from 1 species
GUAGGGAAUCUUCCACAAUGGACGAAAGUCUGAUGGAGCAACGCCGCGUGAGUGAAGAAGGUUCUCGGAUCGUAAAACUCUGUUGUGAAGGAAGAACAAGUACCGGAGUAACUGCCGGUACCUUGACGGUACCUCAUUAGAAAGCCACGGCUAACUACGUGCCAGCAGCCGCGGUAAUACGUAGGUGGCAAGCGUUGUCCGGAAUCAUUGGGCGUAAAGCGCGCGCAGGCGGUCCCUUAAGUCUGAUGUGAACGCCCAAGGCUCAACCGUGGAGGGUCAUUGGAAACUGGGGGACUUGAGUGCAGAAGAGGAAAGCGGAAUUCCAAGUGUAGCGGUGAAAUGCGUAGAGAUUUGGAGGAACACCAGUGGCGAAGGCGGCUUUCUGGUCUGUAACUGACGCUGAGGCGCGAAAGCGUGGGGAGCAAACAGGAUUAGAAACCCUGGUAGUCC